AGCUCGGCCAUGAAGAGUGCUGAGAGAAAAAGAAAAGCAGUUUUCCAUGAGAUGGAGUCUCGUUCCCGUCACACAGGCUGGAGUAAAGUAGCACAAUCUCGGCUCACUGCAACCUCCACCUCCCAGGUUCAAGAGAUUCUCCUGCCUCAGCCACCCGAGUAGCUGAGAUUACAGGUCUACUGAAUAAACGGCCUCUCUGUCAGUGGAGAAUAGCUCAAUAGUCAGAUGACUGCAUUCUCUCAUCUUCCUUGAGAGGUUAGGCCUGUCACAUGGUAUUCGUCACAUAAUAUUGCGGUUUUGCAGGGAGAAGACUUCCCGGCCAUCCUACAAUCGCAGCAAGUAUUUACUGAGCUCUGUGCUUUGGUAGAUGCCACGCUACAGCUUUGUUUCAUUAUUAUCCUCAUAAAACAGGAAAGGUUUCCUUGUUCCCUCGCAGGGCGUGUGAGAGCCGGAGUCCUUGUCCCCUCGCAGGGCGUGUGAGAGCCGGAGUGGCUCACUUCUUCAGUGCCCCGCUGCCCAGAUCUCUAGGGGUGCAUACAGAUGGGCAGGUUGUGGGGCUCUGACCCCACGACAGUGGCUAGGGUGGAUGUCGACAGCUUCUGAAGCCCCAGUGGGCGUGUGUUACCGUGUGCUCCUUCAGUUUUGCCGUCUCUAGGCGGCUUGUGUUAACCAGCUCAAUUAGACCCUCUACCUUUUUAUAAGGACACAGGACUUCUGUAUACCGGGCUCUUGCCUUGGUGUACUGGAAGAAUCGGAUCACACCUGGGCUUGGAGAACGGGCGCAAGGUUUGAUUGAGUGGAGGUAGCUCUCAGCAGAUGGGGGAGCCAGAAGGGAGAUGGAGUGGAAAGGUUUUCCCCUGGAGUCAGGCUGCUGAGCAGCCGGCCUCUUCUCCCACCACCCUGGCCAAACUCCGCGUGGUUCCGCAGGAAUAGCCUGCGGCGUGCCAGUGUCUCAGUGCCUGCCGCGGGCUCUCCAAUCAAUGUGCGCCUCUGGCCGUCCAGCUGCCUGGGUGUUCUUCCGCUCAUGGUCUCCUCUUGCUGCCUUGCCGCUUGGGUCUUGGGGUUUUUACAGGCACAGGCUGGGGGCGUGGUGGGCCAGGGUGGUUUUGGGAAAUGCAACAUACGGGUGUGAAGGCAGGAGUGCCUGUCCUCACCUAGCUCUGUGGACACAGGCCCGAGGGUGGAGCUCUAGCCAGGGACCCACCUUUCUCUACCCAGCACUUCCCUGCCUCCUUCCCAUAUCACUUAGUCCUCCCAACAACCCACGACGGCAGGUGUCAAUGUUCUUCUUUCCUGCGGGGAGAAAACGAGGCAUGAGAAAGUUACUUUGCUUCCCCAAGAGCACGUGUGUAAUGAAUGACAGAGCGGGCCUGUAGCCAGGUCUGUCGAACCCCAAAUCUGUGUUUCAAUCUGCUACACCAAGACAGGCUGUCAUAGGAGAGCUCACAAUAGGAACUGACUGGGUUUUGCCCUGCACUUUACCCAUCCUACAGGGACUCUGCUUCGUUCUAGAGAACUUUCACAAGCCCUGGAGAUCACAGAAGGAGUCCUGCUGUCCAGAUGAGGAAGCUGAGCUCAGAGAGAUUCACUAACUUACCUGCAGCCACACAGGUAAGAAAUCACUUCCUUCACCAUCUCACGUUGCAAACCUACUUUUUACCGAAAAACAGACCCCACGUGAUAUGCAGGCUGCACUUGCGGUGGCGCCUUCCCUCUGCGCAGGGUGGAGUCACUUCACACCCAGAAUGCGGGUUCUGGGCUCAGGUGUGCUGGUUGCUCCUGCCCCAUGACGCUCCCGGGGGAAGGGACUGUGGCAGUGCCUCUGCCUAACGUGGGCCACCGUCAGAGCACCUGCGGCCCCGAUGGUUGCCACGGCUCCCCGGCUUUAGGCAGUACAGAAAGGCUUGGCAGCCAGCUAUUGUGAGGCAACCCCUGUGGAUGAAGAGGUCCAGCUGCUGGCUGCGUCCGCUGUCUGAGUUCUGCAUGCACUGAAGGACCUAGAAGAGAUUCUUUCACAGGCAAAGGCAGUUUACAGAAAAUAAGAUUGGGAAAUGAGGUAGACCAGAUGUGGAGGCGACGGGCGUUCCAUGAAAAGGGGCCACAUUGCUUUCAUCUAGAAUCGUCUGAGACUCUGUGUGGAUUUGUUUUGUUUAAUGCAAGAAGCAAGGGGCAGAUGGUAUGAUGUUAACAGAUGGAGAAGAAGCUGGAAUGACUCAAUUUCUACUUUCUUUUCCAUCUCCUUUAUGUAAAUAUGGUCUUCAAACAGAAAGGGCAGAGCAAACUUGAGAGAACUGAAAUCUCAAAUAGAAAGUAAUAUGUGGCAUCUGCUGUCUAUAAGGAAGUUUAAGCUGUGAGACCCAGAAGAUCUAAAAGAUCUUAGAAAUGAGAUGGCCAAGCCCUUGGAGGUAAUCCCUGUGGAAUCUUGAGGAAUGAGAGAAGACAGCAGAACAAAAGAGAUGGACAGAUGGUGUGGCCUUCGAGAUGGGAAUAAGGUUGCAUGGAGACCACAGAUGAGUGAACGCUGUCUAUCUGUGGACAAUUUUAGUUUAGAUGUAAAAAGAUGUCUUGGAAAAUUCUAGAAAAGAAAGCAACGAGCAUUGGCUCACUUAAAACAAACAGCCAUGCCAAGGUGACCUCAUUUCCUGUGUGAACAGGCUUGGGAGGUGUGGGAGCUUCACUGCCUCUUAACUCCAGCCAGGCUGUCAGUCUCCCUGAGGACAAGAUGGAGAAACGUAGGUUAGAAAUAAUUCACACACCUGAAUAUUCACACACCUGAAUAACUGUUCAGAGCUGGCUGAACAGUUAUAUCUGAUAGGGGAAUGUCGACUCUGAAGAUUUCUGGCUUGUUCUGGGGCUUAAUCCUUGGACCUAUUUUAUUCAACAUUGAUUGUCAAUGCUCUGAAUCAUGAUGCCCAUCACUAUCCCCCUGAAGAACUCACCAGCUCUUUCCCCAGGUGUGUGGGGAUCCGAACUGAAGAGCGCUUUCCAGGAGACACACUUCGCUGUCCACACAGAGACCAGGAUGCAUUCGUGGACUCACUUGCCCUAACUUCUGUCAUGCUGCUUGCAACGCACGGCCAAUCCCAGCAUGAAUGAAGCCAGCAAGACUUUUCUUGGUGUUUGUUGAGUGGGAUUCUGGUGCCUCCUGUGCAGAUUCACUUUUUACAAAAUUACGUUGACAGUCUUGCUUAUAGGCCUCAAAAAACUCUGAAUAAGAUGCGCUGGUUUGCCUUUGGAACAUAGGAUAGGCACUGUUAUCAGAAUCUGCUGCAAUCUCAUACCAAAUUGGAAUGUUUUCCCUUUAUAGCAUUUUUAAAACUUUUCCCACAAAAUAACAGCAUUGCACCGUGUCACGUUAUAUUUAAUUGCAUAAUGUCAGCCUCCCUUAAAAGAAUGUUGAAAAGAUUAUACUUUGAAAUAGUAAUCAUGGGGAAAUGCCUGACUUGAGGAGUUCAGCAGUUAUAAAUAUUCCUGCAACAUUAAUUGGUCAAUAAAUAUCUGCUGACUGGGCCUGUGACAUGUAACUCAAUGGGAACCUUGGAGAAAACCCUGAUUUGCAAGAUUUCUGGCCCCAGAAAGCACCCAACAGAGCGUGGCAUUUAAAGCCUGCUCAUCCAGAAGAAGCCACAAUUCCUACACCAGAUGUUCACGUUGCUAUUUUAAAAUUCUGGGCUCCAGCUGUACGCGUAGGCACGUACUAUGCACCCUACGUACGGGAUCCCAGUCACUCCCACUCCCAUGAAGGAUUUUUCACAGAUGUCUGAAUUCACGCUGAAUUGUAUUGUGUCCUAUGUGUUUAAUGACAGUCUGAGAAUUUGGUGGUGAAGGAAAUCACACGGCCUAUUCUAGUUACUGUUCGAUUGCACCGGCAUUCUUUUGUGAUCUGGAAAUAACUCAUGUCUCGCCGUGAUGUGAUUUAACGUGCAAUGUUGUAGGGUUGCAUGGUGUGGUGAAGAUGAGGUGUGUGUCCCUCCCGGCUCCAGCAGGCACUGCUUCCUUCUGCUCGGCUCCGUCGGACUCUACCAUGCCCUCGACGCGUGGUGUGGGCUGUGACAGGGCCUCCCAGGAAACAAGACUCAUCCUGCUCCUCUCAGGAGCUCACAGUGUGUUUGGGAAGAAAAGGCUUACGCAAGAGGCCAUUCAGUUGCCAUAGGACAGGGUGGGAUCCACUGUCACAAUGGAACGUUACAGACAAUAAAUUUGUAAUGAGACGAAGGAUAUUAUUUACUGGAAAUUCACAUGGGGACUUCUCAUGAGAUGACAGGAAAAAAUACAGUUUCCAGGGAGCUCCCAGCUUCAUUCCAGUGGAGUGAGACCCCAAGAGGGAUCGUGGAGGUUUGGGAUCUUCCAGCCGUCUUGGGGGAUCUGGCGCAGGGUCAGGGGUGAGGUGUGGGGCAGGAAGGAGGAAGAGACCCCUGUAUGGGAAAUCCCGGGGGUGACCCGGGACAUUGUUGAGAGUAAGUUCAGAGAGUGGAAGGGUCUGGGGACCCCAGGAGGAAAGGGGAUUGGGAAGGAGAGAAAUAGGAAUUGUUUAGAAGGUUUGUAGCUAUGAACUGGAUUCCCUUUAAUGCUCUUUGAGAGCUGC